CCAGUGGGAGAGUUCGACCGUCUUGUAGACCUCAUUUGGUCGGCGCCGAAGGAGCAACCGCCCCGGGAAUCUCUCAGGCCCCCGGACCGCAGGGA
rnacentral:ncRNA from 1 species